rnacentral:lncRNA from 1 species
UUAAAUUAACCGUCAAGUUCUCCUUAAGUUAAUGAAUUGGAUGGGUUUGCGCAACGCAAUUCACAACAUUCUCCAAAAGUCCUUUACGUGAAAAGCACAAUAAAGAUACAAUCAAAGAUCAUUAAGCAUCAUGAAAACUAUAAGUGUUGACGAGGCAUUCGUUACUAUGAAAAGCAUGAAACUAGUGCCAAGAAUUCAUUUAACGCGAUUGUUUAUAAGCAACCUCCACUACUUGUGAAUAUAAGUUCAUAACGAUUAGGUGAAACUCACUUAUAUUCUAGCGUCAUAUAUUUAUGCAUGAAAAUUAAGCGUGCACUCUCAAUAAACAUACAUAAAUAAGUUAUCAAUCAAAUGGUUAAACAAAUUGAAUCCACAACUUAUGAAAUUCCAACCAAAGGUAAUCAAUUCAUAUUGCAAGCAUAAACAUAGUUUCGAAUCACCCCCUAGCUAAAGGGUUUAGUUCCUCAUACUUGCAAUUAAACAAAACAAUUGAUAUUAAACAUAGAGAAACAAAGUAGAAUACACCUAGAAUGCUCCAACAACUCCAAUGGAAUGGCUAGCACAACUCCAAGCACUCCUCCUUCUUUGCAAGCCUUGGAACUAAUGGAAAUGUGUAUGAAUUUCUAUGUGUCUUCCUUGAAGGCUGAAUGGUGUUUAUAUAGAGGUUGAAAAUGAAAAGAAUUUCAAGGCAAUGGACAUGACAACUCACGGCAAAGAAGAAAGGAUGCUGCCAGCUUUGUUUUUGCAUGUGUGUGUGCUGUUUUUGUGCUCUUUCCACCUAGAAACAAUCAUUCCAAAGCCACCCAAAGUUAUAAGUGGAAGACCAACCAGAAAUCCACCUCAUAGUGGUCCAAUUUCUGCCAUUCCUUGCUGUCCAUUCACUACCAAAGUUGUAGAAAUCUGCCAACUCCAUUCCAUUGCCGUGUGUGUGUGUUUGUGUUGUCAUCAUCACUUCCCACUCUUCCAUGCUUUAAUUUCUGAUUCCUUGCUGCCCAUGUGGUGUGUGUGUUGCUGUUUUCUUUCCUUCUUGUUGCCCAUGUGGUGUUUAUACUUGCACAUGCAUGUUCUUCAUCCAUUUAGCUAGCAAUAAACACAUUUUCUGCCAUCACAUGGCAGCUAUGAUGUUUGAAGUUGUAGGCCAACACUUUGCACACACACAUGUAGAUUUCUAGCCCAUUGAAUCAUCAAAUUCGUCCAUCCUCAUGUCUCCAUGUUUGCACCAUCCAAUCUUGGCCCAAAAAUGCUCCAAAGUGCUCCAAAAUGCACCUUCUUGCAUCCUUGGCCCAAAGAACCUACAAACACACAAAAAUGGCUUAAAACUACUAACAUAACUAAGAACUAAGAACAUAAAUGCACGAAAACAAACAUACUAAGUCGCAUAAAUAUGCUCCUAUCAAAUUCCCCCACACUUAGCUUUUGCUAGUCCUCGAGCAAAAACAAAGAAACAAAACAUAAGAACAAAACAAAACCUAAACCUUCCAACAAUUACCUUAGGGAUUUUCAAUGCAACAUGACAUGCAAAAGAUCAUCAUAACCACAGAUUUUUGCCUUCCCUACCCUUGAGCACAUACUUAAUCAAAGUCACCACAUACUAGUUCACAUAUAACCAAUUAAAACGAUGUUUUGAAUGUAGUAGUAACAUGCCUUAGAGAAUUUGCUCAAUUCCUUACAAGAUACACUCUUAUUUUCACUCUGAUUUUCUGACUACUUACCCUACACUAGAUGUAUGUGAGAAGAUUGAUGUAAACAUGAAAACGAACACUCACAUAUGUUUAUAGCAAAGAAAGAAAUUUCUGGAGUUAUUAAGCAUGUAUAGAUAUGAUCUCAUGACUGGAAUGCUACUACUUAGAUGCGAGAACCAGGGACACCAUAUGCUCGUACCAAUCCCAAACUCCACAUAUUGAAACACAUAACACUCAAGAUUGAAGUUAAGGGUUGUAACGGGGUUAGGGGUGAUUGGCUAACAAUGAAAGGUAAGGAAACAAACGUUUUUAAAGCAUAAUAAGCAAAGUAAUGAAAUUGAUGCUUAGAAUUCCCUUUGAAUGCAACAACUAACUUUAAACACAAUGGGGUUAUUCAUUCAACUUUUUAGGGCCGAUUUCAACUACAAACAACACUUGUGAGCCUUUCCUCACUUAUUUCAAACUCUUUUUCUUUUCUUUUUUUUUUUCCUUUUUCUUUUCUAACCCGUGCCUUAUUACUUUCUUUUGGCACACAAAACACAAAAAUCUCAUUCCCCCACACUUGUUUUCUGCAUAAGGACAAUCAAAAGGAAUUCAUUUUAAGUCAUGCUUCAUUAUGCUUUAAAAACAAGGGUAUGGAUAGUCCUAAUCUAGGCUAGGUAAGGGAAAUGUGGUUUAACAAAGAAAACAGGCUAAACAAGGCUCAACGGGGUUAAACUUAAACAAAUAUGCACGGGAUAAGCUUUUUGGCUCUAGUUCACUAUACAACUUCAUCUUGAAUAUGUGUUAUGCAAAUCAAUGUCAUGCUUUGAAUGGAACGGGCAUAAGUUCUAGUAUUUGGAACUAAAUGAUGAAACGCCUUCUAAGUAGCAACCAAGCAAAGAAUGAUGAGAUCAUGCAACGACUUUAGAAAACAAAAAUGCACAGAUUAAUAACUCUUCAAAGAACGUAUUAGGCUCAAGUCUCUCAAGGUUGUAGUGUUAGUUUGAGUUCCUUCCUUCAAGCAUGUUACAAAAACUGAUUUUUUUCUUUGUGAUUACAUGUGAAUUCGUAAACUAUAACUAUAACCAAGCAUAAAUCAAGAGCAUAUCAAACUUCCAUCCAUGUUUAUAACUUUCUUUAACAGUCAUGCAAUUAAAAACCAAAUCCUCAUUAUUUGUGUUGGAAGGUACCCUAAGACACAAACAAACACACAAAAACAACUCUUUUUGGCUUUUUCAAAACAAUUUUUUUCAAAUUUUUGUCAAAUUUUCGGAUUUUUAUGUCAAAACAUACUAACAUGCUUAAAAACACACUAAAAACACUUAAAACAGCAAGAAACAACAUUGUAAGUGAUAGGUGAAUAAAAUCACACGAAAAUCAUGCAACAGCAACUUGUUUACCCCCCCACACUUAAAUCUAACAUUGUCCUCAAUGUUUCAAACAUAAACUCACACAAAAGCAAACAAACAAACAACGAGGAAACAUGAUAAACAUGGCAAAGUAAAAGCAACAGAGAGGAGGGUUAAAGAACGCAAACACCUGGUUUUGGAGUCGGAAAUUCCUAGGUCUUCUUUAUUUCCAUGGGUUGCCUCCAUCACUAAUGAGAACUCUAGGCAUGCCAAACCUAGCAAAGAUAUUAGUUUUCACAAAAUCUGCAACAACCUUUGAAUCGUUAGUCCGGGUGGCUUUGGCUUCCACCCAUUUGGAAACAUAAUCAACAGCUAGCAAGAUAUAAGUGAAACCAAAAGAUGGAGGGAAAGGACCCAUGAAAUCUAUACCCCAAUGUCAGAAAACACUAUAAUGCAAAUAAAAAUAAAAUAAAUAAAUAAUAAGAAACAAAAUAAAGCAAUUGGACUGAAAACUUCCCUAGUUUGCAGUAAAACCAAGCGAUGACCCCCCAAGCUAAAAUUCUGCAAUCAACUUCAAGGGUGGAAAUAACCAAAAGUUCCUACAAAGAAAAGAAAUAAUUCAGUUUAGUAACACAAGAAAAUAUAAAAAAAAUGCAAACGAAAAUUGAAAAAUUGAAAAUCACGAUAAAAGACAAUGAAUAGAACUAAUAAGUGAUCAUUGGUCGUGCUUGUUUGACUUUCCACAGCUUUCCUCUUGAACAGGGGUGACACUUAGCUUUUUACUUGCAAGUGAUGAUUUGAUGAUAUUGUACGGCGAAGCUUUGCUCUUUGGUGAUGUUGCAGUUCCUUAUUUGUUCUCCAAGCAGAUGUGGCAGCUUCUCUAGUUCUUCAGCUCGGACUCCUUCCGCUGGGAUGAUUGUGCAAGCUGCAUUCUUCUCUGCUUGUUUCUUCUGUACGUUGUCUCCACAUGCUGUUGGUAUCAUUUUCGCUUGCCUUAUCUGUUCUUCAGGUAGAUGUGGCAACUUCUUUGGAAGUACAUCAGCAGUGGAAGACGAGUACUCGAGAGCAAUUUCUCCAUGUCCUGCAGGUUAGAACAAAGACAAGGAAAAGGACAUGGAGAAUGCAUGAUAUGAGAUACUCUUGCUUUCAACCUUUAUGAUAUGAAAUACUUUUGCUCUGGAUGGGUUGUUUGCAGGGGUAUCCCAGGGAAUGAGGAAUACAGUGUGACUCGAGAGGGUUCUUUGGGAAUGCAUUCUCGGAGAUGAAGAAGUGCUGAGAGGGUGUGCCUUUGCUGUGGAAGGCGAAGGUAAAUACUUAUAGGACUUUUCUUCACAACCGGAACUAUUCUCUCACUCAUUGUCGGCAGCCGGUGGAUGGAUGAAUAGUACAAAUUACGCGCUUUCUGACAAAGCUGCCCGUAAUUUUCGCAAAGCUGCCAGUUGCAUGUGACGAGUGACGACACGUCUAGACAAAUUGAUCUUUUGAAAUCCGGGGUUCGGCUCGUGGUUUCUGAGCAAGCCCAUUUUUUGAGAAAUGAAACGCCUCUUUUGAGAAAAGAAUCCGGCUUUUGAGAAAGGAGCCCCGACUCUUCGAUUUGCGAGAGGACGCUUCUCUGAGGAGCGCCUAUUUGAUUUCUUCUUUUUAUAGAGGCGUUAAUUUUGUUCCACAACACACUUGAGCUCCCUCCUGUAAACACUCCCUCCUGUAAACUUCCAAAAUCUUAAUCAGUCCGACUCUCUUCUUUCUUCACCACCUUCAGAAAAAUGUCUGGCCCUUCCGAUCGUCGUUUUGACUUGAACAUUGGUGAAGAGGCAGCUCCGCCUUCACUAGACAACAUAUGGCGCCCAUCCUUCAUAUCCCCUACCGGUCCUCUUACCGUUGGGGAUUCGGUGAUGAAAAAUGACAUGACCGCUGCGGUGGUGGCCCGGAACCUUGUCACCCCAAGAGAUAACAGACUGCUCGCUAGACGGUCUGUGAUGAAAUUGGCGGUUAAGGAGUCUCUGGCUCUUAGCGUGCAGUGUGCGGGUUCUGUGUCCAACAUGGCCCAACGCCUAUUUGCUCGAACCCGUCACGUUGAAUCGUUGGUGGCUGAAAUACAGAGUCUCAAAGAGGAGAUUAGAGGACUCAAGCAUGAAAAUAAACAAUUGCACAAACUUGCACACAGUUAUGCCACAAACAUAAAGAGGAAAAUUGACCAGCUGCAGGAAAAUGAUGGUCAGAUUUUACUUGAUCACCGGAGGUUUGUGGGUUUGUUCCAACCGCAUCUGCCUUCGUCUUCUGGGGCGGCACCGCGUAGUGAAGCUCCAACUGAUCAACCUCCGAUACCUCCUCCUUCCGUGGCCCCGCCGACUGCUGAAGCUCCGCCGACUACUGAAGCACCACCUGACCAAUGAAAGCUAUUAGUUUACACAUCAUUGUAAAAUAUGGUUACUUUUAAUGUAUUUUUUUUUUUUUUUUUUUUUUUUUUUUUUGAAUCAAUGUAAAAUAUGUAAAUCAAUGUAAAAAGACUUUGUUUAACCUUCCCCCACACUUAAACUAAAUAACACAAACUCACAGAAAUCAACCAAAUAACACAACUAACUGAACAAAACAAAAUGAAAGCAGUAAAGAUAAGGGUGUAAGAAUGCAAAUCUGAUUUGGUUAGCGAUUCCAAAGUCUCCCUUCGUUGAAUGCUUGGGUUGCCUCCCAAGAAGCGCUUGAUUUAACGUCUUUAGCCGGACGAAUCUUUCCUUUAAACUCCCAUCGGCUCCAAAGCAUGGAAUUUAUCUUUUAAUGGGAGGUGAUACUUGAAAUGAUUCGGCAAUGGUUUAAAUUCAAGAGUGGGUGCCUGAAUCAUCAAAAUCAGAAACAUGUUAGUAUAAGUUAAAAUUAAAUUUGGAGAAGAUGGCUUACUUUCUUUUUCCGACAUAAACUCAAUGACAAACACCACAUUUGUGAACAUUUCUGGGACUUUGAACUUGGCCAGGUUUACUAUGAUGGUUGUGGCGUGUCCCGUGUCAUCAAACUCAACUGCUUUGGGCUUGAUUGUCUCAUGCACAGCCUCUUGGAUGUAUUCUUGAUAUGCUUCAACCACUUCAUUCUCUUGAAUCCCUUUUCUUGGUGUGCAAGGUUCUUUGAACGUUUCAAUACCAUCGGGAACUUGUUUUGGUGCACCAAGAAUUAGGAUAUCACUUUGCACCUUUGGAAGAGCUUCCACAAUGUCUUUUUCACUCUCUUUGAUAUUUGGAAUCAAAAACCUGCAAGGACAAAGGACAUUCGGUGGAAUAAUGUUAGAAUGAAGUGAAUUAGAACUUCCUCACCUGAGUUGGAUGACAUAGGGAUUUGAGGAGCUUGCAGCAAGAAUUCUUCUAAACUGCCCAGGUCGUCCUCCUCCUCUUCUGCUUGCAGCAGCAGCAGCAUUCAUCAUCCAUGUUCGGGCUGUGUUUGGAUGGUUCUGGGACAGCUUCAUCCUUCAUGUCACCUUCCAAAGUGAUAGCUUCAUCGAUUUCAACUUCUGCCUUUGAAUUUGCAAUGUUUGAGUUGGAAAGUUCACUUUGAUCUCGAAUCUAUGCCAUGAAUUCCACAAUCUGCCCAACUUGCAUUUCCAAUUCGUCCACUCUUUUGACUCGGUCUUGCAUCUCCUGGUUUUGAUUUUCUACUCCCUGAUUCAAAGAGGUGAGUAACUUAUUAAGUGUAUCAUUAUCCAAGGAUGUACCUGAAUUGAAUUGGGUUGAUUGUUGUGGUGGCUGUGACGGUUCAUAUGGCCACUGAUAGAACUCUUCCGAUGGCGGCAAUUGUUCUUCUUUUCGUAAACCCUGCGCCACAGAAAUUAGUCCUUCAAGAGUUUCAUUAUAAUUCAUGGGCAUACUUUGAUUUGAUUGGAAUUGUUGUGGGGGAUGCUGUGGUGGCUGCAUAGGUCUUGAAUAGAACUCGUCUUGCUGCCAAUAUCCACCUUGUUGAAAUUGUUGAGGUUCAUCCCACAUAUAAUCUGAAUUACCUCUCCAAUCUGAAUUGUAAGCGUUGGAAAAUAUGUUGCCCCUUGAUUGGUUAUGGCCUUGAUAUCCCCAAACAUCUUCAUUUGCAUAAAAUUGAGGACUUUGAUAACCUUGCCCAUAGGGCACAUCAAAUGUAGGGACACUUGGCAUUGUGGUCCGUUCGGCAUUAUGAGUCAAUUGAGCAGUGAGCUGUGCCAAUUGAGCUUGAAUGGUCGCAAGUGCCAUAUCUCGCUCCAUUUGUACCUAAAAUCAAAGGAAGAAAAAUAAAUCAAAUAUCAAAAGUAACACAAAACAAGGAAAACAAAACUAAGUCAGAAACUAAAACAAAAACAAACUAAACAAAAAGAAAAGACCAAGGGAUUAGCAAAGUUUGCUAAUCCCCGGCAACGGCGCCAAAAUUUGGUGCGAAAAUUACUUGACACACAAAUUAAACCCUAUUUGUGACAAUUGUAGUAAUGAUAUAAGUAGGGAUCGUUCUAACCGGGGAUUAACUAGGGGUGCUAAACACUUGACUCAAAUAAAUAAAACUAACUUUUAAAACACUAAGACAAACCAAAAGACUCAAAACAAGUUCAAAAGACUCCAAAUACGUAAAAGCAUAAAAUAAGAUAGAUUUGAACGACUAAGACUUUAACAAAAUAUGGGGAGGGGGAAUUGAGUUGUUUUUGACGAGAUUAAAUUAAAUGGACAGAUUAUAAUUAAGGGCAAAAUGUAAAUAUGAAUGCGAUGAAAAAAUAUGGAUGAUGGAAUAGCUUAAGGGGUUCUUCUCCACACAUGUCACACUUGCAAUACAAGAUCGAUUCUCAGUUGGUCUUUCGAUAAAUUAUGAAACUCAACACCCUAGGUUAAUUAGGUCCGCUUAAAUUAACCGUCAAGUUCUCCUUAAGUUAAUGAAUUGGAUGGGUUUGCGCAACGCAAUUCACAACAUUCUCCAAAAGUCCUUUACGUGAAAAGCACAAUAAAGAUACAAUCAAAGAUCAUUAAGCAUCAUGAAAACUAUAAGUGUUGACGAGGCAUUCGUUACUAUGAAAAGCAUGAAACUAGUGCCAAGAAUUCAUUUAACGCGAUUGUUUAUAAGCAACCUCCACUACUUGUGAAUAUAAGUUCAUAACGAUUAGGUGAAACUCACUUAUAUUCUAGCGUCAUAUUUAUGCAUGAAAAUUAAGCGUGCACUCUCAAUAAACAUACAUAAAUAAGUUAUCAAUCAAAUGGUUAAACAAAUUGAAUCCACAACUUAUGAAAUUCCAACCAAAGGUAAUCAAUUCAUAUUGCAAGCAUAAACAUAGUUUCGAAUCACCCCCUAGCUAAAGGGUUUAGUUCCUCAUACUUGCAAUUAAACAAAAACAAUUGAUAUUAAACAUAGAGAAACAAAGUAGAAUACACCUAGAAUGCUCCAACAACUCCAAUGGAAUGGCUAGCACAACUCCAAGCACUCCUCCUUCUUUGCAAGCCUUGGAACUAAUGGAAAUGUGUAUGAAUUUCUGUGUGUCUUCCUUGAAGGCUGAAUGGUGUUUAUAUAGAGGUUGAAAAUGAAAAGAAUUUCAAGGCAAUGGACAUGACAACUCACGGCAAAGAAGAAAGGAUGCUGCCAGCUUUGUUUUUGCAUGUGUGUGUGCUGUUUUUGUGCUCUUUCCACCUAGAAACAAUCAUUCCAAAGCCACCCAAAGUUAUAAGUGGAAGACCAACCAGAAAUCCACCUCAUAGUGGUCCAAUUUCUGCCAUUCCUUGCUGUCCAUUCACUACCAAAGUUGUAGAAAUCUGCCAACUCCAUUCCAUUGCCGUGUGUGUGUGUUUGUGUUGUCAUCAUCACUUCCCACUCUUCCAUGCUUUUAAUUUCUGAUUCCUUGCUGCCCAUGUGGUGUGUGUGUUGCUGUUUUCUUUCCUUCUUGCUGCCCAUGUGGUGUUUAUACUUGCACAUGCAUGUUCUUCAUCCAUUUAGCUAGCAAUAAACACAUUUUCUGCCAUCACAUGGUAGCUAUGAUGUUUGAAGUUGUAGGCCAACACUUUGCACACACACAUGUAGAUUUCUAGCCCAUUGAAUCAUCAAAUUCGUCC